UGCCGUUCUCCCAUCAUUGUUCCCUUUCCCAUCCGUCGCUGCUCUCCAUCGCAUCCAGCCUCUUUCACAUCCCAUCGGCUCCACCGCCACCAUGAACCAUCACUAUCCUUGGUCUCUUCUCUUUGACCUGCACACGACCGCAGAUGCUUCUGGUGGUGUGUGGCGACGCGGCCGAUCGAGGGAACCGGGCGGUGCCUAUAGGUGACAACAAUGGUGUUCUGUUGUGCCCUGUUGUACCCCUCCACACUUGAGGCCGCCGAGGAGAAGAUCACACUCCCUGUAAAAAAUUCGGCCAUGUUCUAAGUGGCUAAUCGGCAAGGGUUGGACGACAUAAUGCCAACGACCUCACCCUAGGAGUCCACUUCACGGUCAUGGCAUCCGCCUCCACCAAUUAUCUAGAGGAGUUAAGUUCCAGAGACGAAUGGGGAGGUCAACUUUGAGAUGCAGCACACUAUGUGUUCACGCAAUCGGAAUGGCCGAAAUAUCAUGCCAAUAUGAGGGACGUCCGAAAUAUCAAGCCAAUAUGCGUUUUAUGCCUUUCCUGUUAGGUAUGUUAUCAUUGAUUCAUAUGAUUAGUUGGUACUUCAGAAUAGGCACACACAUGUUUUCCAUCAUAAUCGAGAAAGUACAAAUUUUAGAUAUGGAUGUUAAGCUAUGAGGAGAACCUUAUUGGCUCGGACAUCAUAUUUUUUAGGUAGGCAAUCUUUAGUUCAUUAUGAUCAGUUAAUAUUCCUGAGCGGGGGAAGCCAUAUUGUCCACAAGGCUUGAGCAAGUCGGAUUUCUGAUAUAGAUUUUAAAUGAUCAAGACAACCUAAGUGGCUCUUUGCCAGGCCACCAUUGCCGAUACUUAUGGAGCUGUUUUUAAAUGUGCAAAUGUCCAACCCAUUAAAACACCCUUUUAGGAUACAUAAGCAACUGCCAGUAUUUGUGGGAGUGCAUUUUACAACGAUUUGCAUAAAUUCUGCUGAGGAUAAUUAUAAAAUGCACAAAGCAUUUUAAAUUCUUUUUCCAGUUUUGUAAAUACUGAAUCAAAAUAUCGAAUAAAUAUUUUUAGGUUCAUUAAUAAAGAUAUAGUGCUCAUGUUUAGGCAGUGCCAAGUAUUAGAUGUUCCAUGUCUUUAUUAGCUUACUCUAAAUUUAAAGUACUAAAAGGUCUGAGUGGUGAGCGCUACUUCUUUGUUAUUUUAUUGUGUCUUCACAUUAUAAAAA